rnacentral:rRNA from 1 species
UACGGAGGGUGCAAGCGUUAUCCGGAUUCACUGGGUUUAAAGGGUGCGUAGGUGGGUCUGUAAGUCAGUGGUGAAAUCCCCCGAGCUUAACUUGGGAACUGCCGUUGAUACUAUAGAUCUUGAAUAUCGUGGAGGUAAGCGGAAUAUGUCAUGUAGCGGUGAAAUGCUUAGAUAUGACAUAGAACACCAAUUGCGAAGGCAGCUUACUACACGAUCAUUGACAUUGAGGCACGAAAGCGUGGGGAGCAAACAGG